rnacentral:lncRNA from 10 species
AGGACUUCUGUGGGAAAUGGCUCUGUUUGAGGAAUCAUAAAGCCCUAGUUUCUGCUGCUGGUAGCGACUUUACCAUCAUGAGGAAGGCAAAGCUGAUAUGAGCUAAGACGAAAACAUGAGCGAAUUGCAGAGAACUCUUGUGGUGAGAGUGGGGAACAGUGGAAGGAGGGAGGAGACAGUGAACACAAACCAAUAAAUAAAUGAGGUGAGCAUGCAAAUAAAUGAAAUGGGGUCAUAUGAUGUGUGGUGAAGAGAGGAUGGGAGCCUGCCUUUGAUGGGCUGGGCAGGGAGACGUGUGCCACAGCCCCAUUGUGGACGCCAGGAAGCUGAGCUAGGGGGAUUUCACAUGAAUGAGGGCAUCGGCCAUGUGUCUUUGCAGCAGACUUACAGUAUACUAUGUCUGCUGAAAGAGAAGGAGACGGAUUUUACCUUGGAGCGUCCCUCCCGGAAGACUUGCCAAGGAAUGCACUUUGGACUGGAAGAAUUUCCACAGCUGUGUGGAGGGUGGUGUUCUGAUGGCCAAGCCCCAAAUGAUGUUGUUGGCCCAUGUGGAAGACUUGAUCUUUGCAGGGAGGUCAAGGAAACCUAGCAAAAAUGAUGGAAGGUAGGAAGGCAAGAAUGGUAGGAGAAAUAUGAAAAGAAUUGGGAGUUUUUCUCCUUGAGCAGAGGCACCUAAAAGCAGACAACUUUUACAUAGUAGCUUGAUUUUGAGGAAGUCCUUUUUCUGGGCCUCAGUUUGCUCAUCUGGGAAAUGAAGGAGAUUAACAAUAUGAUCCAUACAGUUGCUUUCGGCCCUAAAUUCUGUGAUUCGAGGAAAAAUUACAUAUAUGAAAGAUUUUUAUGCAUAAGCAAGGGUCUGUUUUCCAACUCCAUUGCAACAAAAGAGGAAAAUAUGAGAUCUGAAGCAGAACUUCUUGACUUUGAGAAUUUUUUCUCUAGGAGAAAACAAUGGAUGUUUUAAAAUGCCAGUUUCUUGGAAAUUUAUAAGGAAAUAAUACAUUGCUAUUUUUUUUUCUGGGAUGAAAUUAUCUAAAGGAUCCACCCCCUAAAAAUGUGAAUUUGAAUUUGCAUGGAAGUUAAUAUAUUAAAAUGUAAACGCCAGGUUCUAAGUUCUUAAAAAAAGUUCUUGCAUGUCAGCAGGGGAGGUGUGAGGUGACUUCUUUAGCAAGUUACUUGUGCAUUUUUAGCUAUAUGAAUCCCUCUUAAAGAGGAGAUACUUUCUAAAUUGAGCAAGUGCGUUUUAUAAUCCUGAGAUGGACACAGAGCAAAAUUUGGAAGCAUUAGUUUUUAAAAAAAUAUUAUUAAAACCAUGCUCUAAGUUUAAAAAAUGUGGAAGGCAGAGUAACGUAUCUUCCAUCUCCCCAAGAUAGCCAAGUGCUUAUCCUAGGAGUUUGCAAUAUGUUAAUUUACAGGGCUAAAGAGAGUUUGCAGAUGUGCUUAAAGUAAGGAUUUGAGAUGAGAUUAUCCUGGGUUGCCCAAUGUAAUCAUAGGAGCUCCGAAAAGAUGGAAGAGGGAGGCAGAGAAGGAAUGUGUCCACAGAAACAGAGCCUGGAGUGAUGUGAUUGGCAGAAGGGGCAUUAGCUAAGGAAUUCACCAGUCUGCUAGAAUCCAGAAAAGGCAACAAAACAAAUUAUCCCUCAGAGCCCCUGCAGGCAGCAUGGCCCCACUGACACCUUGAUUUUGGCCCAGUGAACCCAUUUCAGGCCUCUGAUUUCCAGCACUGUAAGAUAAUAAAUGUUUGUUGUUUUAG